AGGGUAAGCGUGGGGCUAAGUACCAAAAUAAACCAUCCAGCACAGGUGGGAUUUAUUUAAUUCAUAUGUGGAGAUAAACUUAGAUGGAGGACAGACUAAAUUAAUAGCACAUGGAAAGAUCUGAAAUCACGAGUAAAACAUUAGAAAGCUAAGAAUUAAAUUCCAACAUAGCCUAGUCGCAUCCAUGUGUUGAACCACAAAACUGAAUUUAGCCUCUUGAAAUGGAACACAACAGGAAACAUAUCUUCACUGUGGCUGUGAUCUCUUAAUGUGAUUAAGUGUUCAUUUCCAUGAGUUCAGUAAAUCUGUAUUUAGGCCCAGUUGUGUCCCAGAUUAGAUCUCUGUCACCUGAAGGAUCAUACGGCCUCUCCUAAUCUGAUUAUAGUCCUUAUUCAGAGCCCUGCUGUCAGUUACAGGUCUAAGAUGUCACAGGUUUGUAUUUAUGGUACCUCUGACUAAGUGCUUCUCCUUUUGCUACUCAGAUCAUCCCUAGCUCCCUGCUCCCCCAAGACACAUUGCCAGCUCCUCUCCUCUAUGAACAAGGACACCAAGGUCUAAAUAUACUUGAUUGCAAGCUAUAUUCAUGUUCACUGCUUGUCAGUAUUUAUGACAUGAAUCUAUUACUGAAGAGCUUAAUUUGAUUAGGGAUGGCAAGAUUUUAAUCUCUCAAGAUGUGUAGGGGCAUCAUAGUGGAAAUGGUAGGAAUUAGUGGAAUUUCUGUUUGCCUUGCCUUUUUCCCUGCUUCUCUAGUUCCCAAAUAAAGUUGGCCCAGGGAUUUAGGUUGAGUGUCUUGUUUCUUGGAUAUGAGGUCUGUCAUUGAUAGAUCAAAAAAUACUUUCUCCACUCAACCCCACAAAAAGAAAGACAAAGUCAAAUCCUGUGCAAUGAUUACAUUUGCAAUUAGAAUUCUGCUGUAAUUUAUUUUUUAUGAAAUUCAUAUCCUUGCUCUUUUCCUUAAAAACUGAAAUUUUAAAGACUUUUAAUGUUAAAAGUUAUCUUCAAUGAGUAAUUUAUCAUUUUUUUAUUGAAUUAAAUAAUAUUCUCUUCAGGUAUCAGCUUACUUCAUUCAUCAGGUCAUUUUGGAUUUCUGUAAUGCUAAUUAUUUUUCUUAAAGGAUGAUCCUGUGCUACUUGUAACAUAAAUAAAUGGAUCUUUCAUGUGCUGGUUUGGAUCCAUUUCAUUAUGGACUCUUUCUUUCUUUCUUUCUUUCUUUCUUUCUUUCUUUCUUUCUUUCUUUAUCUUUCUUUCUUUCUUUCUUUCUUUCUUUCUUUCUUUCCUUUCUUCCUUCCUUCCUUCCUUCCUUUUAAUUUCUGUCUGUCUGUCUGUCUUUUUAGGGCUGCACCCACGGCAUAUGGACGUUCCCAGGCCAGGGGCCUACGCCAGAGCCACAGCAAUGCCAGAUCCGAGCCAAUCUGCGACCUACACCACACCUCAUGGCAACUCCAGAUCCUCAACCCACUGACCAGGGGCAAUGAUUGAACCUGCAACCUCAUGGUUCCUAGUCAGAUUCCUUUCCGCUGCGCCAUGACGGGAACUCCAGUAGGAUUAUUUCCUCUAGAUAAACUGCAGAUAAACUUCUGCUAUUUUUGUUUUCCCAUAGUCCAGAGUAUUUU
rnacentral:lncRNA from 1 species